rnacentral:lncRNA from 1 species
UUCUAUGUUCCGUUCUUCGAUGGAUCCACCAAUCGCACAACAACAUCGUGUUCAAGCUUCAUCAACACUUGGUAUCUUAACCACUGCAGCAGCUCGAACAAUGCUAUCACUGCAUCAUUCUUCUCUUUUGGGGACCCGUUAUCGAGAAGGUCCAGUUAAGCAAGUAUCACACUGCCGUUUAUGAUCUUGUUUACACCGGCUACCGUAAGUGUAAAGAGUGUCAUUGCUGCGUUUUCUCUUGCUUCCAUGGUUCCCGCUCUAACUUGAACUAUCGAAGUGACUGCACCAGAAAAAAAAUAUCAGCUCUUCGUAAUUUCAUAUAUAGAGAGGAUUCCCAACAGGGAUUGCUCUUGCUUCAGCAAUCAGGAUACGAUUGUCCGUGCUUCACUUUGACAAAGAACAGACUGCAGAAGCGGUGUUCCACUGACAUGUAUCUGCACCUGCUGUUGAUGUAUCCAGACAGUUGCUCAAUCCUCUGUUUAGUGCAUCACCGAGAGACAGAGCUUCUCUGAAUUCCUUCUCAACAUAACCAGCAAACUCUCUUGUCGGAGCCAAAACCAAACAAAUAAGGUUCUUCCCAAGCUUUUCACACAUCAAAUCUACACAAAAACCAUAAAAAGUGUGAAUAUUUGAGUCCUCAAAUAUGCAAAUACAAUCUUAGGAUUGACAAACCCGUGUUUAGAGUAGAUCUUUUUGAUUCUGUCAAUGAAAUGAAUCUCAAAAGCAAGAGUCUUUCUAGUUCACGUCCUAGCACGGCCUUGUAUUUUUGGCUCAAGCAAAACUCUUUACACAAACAACAAACAUCAAUAUUGAGUUAAAAGUCAGAUAACUUUCAAUCGACCCCAUUCCAGAAAGAAGAGCGUACCUGAAUAGGAAAGAGUUUCUGAAUUCCUCUAGCACUCAAAGCUUCGAAAAUCUCCGGAGACAUCCGAGGCUUACCUAUCGCUAAUACAUUACCGAAGCAGCGUAAAUUUUAACCGCGAAUCCGGCUAUAGAACCCAUCGAGACUCUGACUUGGAGGGUCAGAUUGGAGAUGAAAGUCUGAAACUUUUAUACCGAAAGGGUUCGAAACCUGGAGGACGACGCUAGGUUUACCAUUUGCGGUAGAUCGGAGACUGUAGGGGCAAUGGCGGCGGAUUGAGCAAGGUGGUGAAAAGAGCGGUGUUGUUGAUAAGCUUUAUAGCAUGAACUUAAGAAUAUCCGUUAAUGGAGACGUUUAGUUUCAGGGAAUGGGAAAAGGAAGAGACGAUAACAUUAUGAAUGAGGUGAUUUAAAAAGAGGUGAAGCUUAACACGAUCAAAUCAGAUUUGGGACUAAAUGAAGUUAAGCGUUUUGUUCUCUUGUGACACGUGUCAUGCUCAUAGAGUUCAACUUAUCUAGCUGGAUGCUGAGGUUGCUUCACCAGGAGAGAAAAAACAUUUCUUUAUAUAUAAAAAAAUCUGUUAGAAAUUUCCCGUGGAAAAUUUUCUGAAUGUGUUGGCAGCUCUUAUAAGUCAAAUGAAAACAACACAAGUCUUGUUCAAAUCCAAUACUAGAUGUCUUGACUUUUAGAGAUAAAACGGUCUGAAGCUAAGAGUCAUAGUCACUAUAUUUACCAGAUAAGGUAGCUUUCUGAAACUUAUCCUCAUCUGACGAACAAAACCGAAGUGGUCAUUAGUUUUAUACUUUUAUUCAAUUCUUGAACCAUGUCAUCCAAUUGCGAGUUGCAAUCCACUACUGAUGAACAAAACAACGACAAAAAUUGAACACACUUCUUGUAACUACACUCUUUGUAAACAAUAAAAUGUAGUCAAUGCUUGGCUUGAGUAAGAAAUGUGUAUACUCAAUGUGUAGAUGUCAUUUUCUUUAUAUGUAUACUAGGGUCAGCCCGCUCUACGGGCGGAAAGUUCUAAUAAAAAUUAUUUUAUAUUAAUUAAUGAAGUAUUUAAAAAUUAUUAUAGAUAAAAAUAUUAUAAACAAACAAAUAAUGAAAGAAUUAUAAGAUCAUAAUAAUAAAUAUUUUUGUUUUGAAUUAAAAUUACAGUAAACUUUACUAUUCUUUAACAAAUAGCAUUACAUUUUUAAUAUUUAUUUUAGUUUCAAAUGUUUAGUUUUAUAAUAUAUAGUAAUCGUUAUUUAUUAUUAUAUAAAUGUGCACAUUAAAUAUAUAUAUAUAUAUAUAUAUGUUGAAGAAAAAUACAUAGAAAAAUUAUUAUCAAAAAAGAGAUAUUUUUAUCCGUGACGAACAUAAAUCCGUUAAUAUAUAUUAUCCUAUAAAUUAUUCGGAUUGUAUAAUAAAUCUUCUACUAUACAAAUAACAUUAAAAUUCAUGUAACGCAACUAAUGUACACAAUUACUUUUUACAUAUGUCAAUAAUUUGAAAUCAUAUAUCUCAAACUCAUCAACUUCUUUCUAAAAGCAUUUCCUUAGGAACGACAAUAUGUAAAGUUGCUACAGAUGUUAUUCCUUGUUUAUAUAUUAUCACGAUAAAUUUCACUUGUAUAUGAUAAAUUAAACUAAAUGUCAUUAGAAAAUAGAUAAUUUACUUUCUCAUCUCAUAAAAUCAUAAUAGAAUCGUAACAUUUUGGUAUGUUCUUCGGGUUAUAUAUAUUUUAAAAACAAUUUAUUUGACUUCUUCUACUUGAUUUAGUAAAUAAUGUUUAAAAGACUUUAGAUUUUAGGAGAUCAAAAACAAUUUUGCACUUUCUCUUCUCAAAUCAUUGGCAAACUAUAUUAUGUAAUUGUGAGGGAAAAAAUGUAAAACGAUUUUGCAGCAGUUACGAUGGCAAGCAGUGCAAUUAGCAAAAAUAUUUAAAUAUAAUUUCGAAAAUAAAGAUCUUGUAAAAAUCUUUUUAAAUAGAUUUGUUAGAAUUUUAAAAUAAAUAUAUUUAUAUUUAAAAUGAAAAGAUAUCAAAAGAUAUUAUGAUUAAAAUAUUUUAAAAAUUCUAUUUAUUAUUAAUCUGAUUUAAAAUGUAGUAUGGAUUUCUAUGAAUAAGUCCAUUAGGUCCAUUUUAAAAAAAAAAAUCACACAUGAAUCAAAGUUGUGACUUCUGUUUUAAUAUAUAAGAUUUUUUUUAUGUUGAAAUCAUAUUCUUACGACAUGCUAUUAUAAUUACGACAUGUUAUUAGAACGGAAAUGGUGAUUAUUUGAGAUUACAUUUUUUAUGAAAAGUAAAAUGUUAUAUUGAGUACGAAGAGGGUAAUAAAGCAAAGCUAGUAAAAAAAUGGAAUAUGGAAAUUUUGAAUUGAUUUUGUUUUAUUGGAUUGGUUAUAUAUUAUGAUAGAACAACUAUUUUCAUGAAAAUUUACUUAUAUAUGAUAUUUAAAUAUUGAGAAUCAAAGAUGGUUGAGUAAAUUACAUAAUCCCAUGCAUAGUUAUGAUUCUAUAAAUAAAACAAUAACCCUUUUUUAUUAAGAAAGUAAAUACUUUAUUUUAUAUACUCUUAUUUAUUUUUAUCAAAUUAUUGUGCAUUACAGUACCCUCGUUCAGACUUUACAGUUAUUUACUUUAAUCUUCACUAUUACAAUUAAAUUACGUUAGUUUAUUUUAAUUUGAGUUCCUUUGUUUUUUUUUACUUUUUCUAUUUUAGGACAAAGUCUAGCUUAAAGUAAGAAAAUAAAACUACAAUUGUUUAUUUACUUUAAUCUUCACUAUUACAAUUGAAUUACGUUAGUUUAUUUUAAUUUGAGUUCCUUUGUUUCUUUUACUUUUUCUAUUUUAGGACAAAGUCUAGCUUAAAGUAAGAAAAUAAAACUACAAUUGUUUAUUGUAAUAGUGGUGUUUGUUGUUGCUAUAUAUGUUUUUACUGUUUCCGAAAUAAUGCCAAAACAAUACGAAACCAAAAAUAUGAUUAACCAAAAGAUGUUCAUAGCCACAACAUAAAUACUAAAAUUACCAGCAGUACCAAUCAUACUUCAACAAACGAAAACCAUAGCUAAUUAAUUAAAAAGUUGCAACUUGCAAGACAACUACAUUAUUUAGUGAAGGGUAAAAAACUUAAGAAGCAGAAAUGAAAUUGAGAAAGUUUUGGCCAGCUUCACUGUCUCCAUAGUUGGAGUGAUCAGGACCCUUGUCAGCAUCCGUUGUUUCCUCCUUCGUGUUGACCAGUGGAUCAGUUUGCAGAGAAUUUGGUUCACCAAUUCAUAUGUAGAGAAACAAAAUGGAAAUUGACGAAUCAAGUACCAAGAAGACCAAAAUUCAAAACUAUUCUCCUUCAUUCUGUUAUAAAUAUAACAAAAUAUGAAAAUACAUACAUAGCAAGCUAAAUAGUGCGAUUCUGGAAAGCACUUUUGGCUGACUAACUCCAGAUUUGAUUCCACAAAUGGAAUUACUAUCCAAAGACAAAAUUGACUGAAAAAAAUAUUAACAUAAUAAACAAUUGGCAUGAUGUGCAGAAACACUGACGAAGACGUAGCUUACCUUUUCCCUUUCUAUGUUCCGUUCUUCGAUGGAUCCACCAAUCGCACAACAACAUCGUGUUCAAGCUUCAUCAACACUUGGUAUCUUAACCACUGCAGCAGCUCGAACAAUGCUAUCACUGCAUCAUUCUUCUCUUUUGGGGACCCGUUAUCGAGAAGGUCCAGUUAAGCAAGUAUCACACUGCCGUUUAUGAUCUUGUUUACACCGGCUACCGUAAGUGUAAAGAGUGUCAUUGCUGCGUUUUCUCUUGCUUCCAUGGUUCCCGCUCUAACUUGAACUAUCGAAGUGACUGCACCAGAAAAAAA